rnacentral:rRNA from 1 species
GGUUAAAAAGCUCGUAGUUGGAUCUCGGCGGGCAGGGGGUGGUUCGCUCUUCAGCGCUACUGCCCCGCUUUGCCCGUGUGAUUGGCGGAGGUUUCGGGGUGCUCUUCGUUGAGUGACUCGGAGCGCCGUCAGGUUUACUUUGAAAAAAUUAGAGUGCUCAAAGCAGGCUUUUCACACUUGAAUAUUCGUGCAUGGAAUAAUGGAAUAGGAACUCGUUUCUAUUUUGUUGGUUUUCGGAAAUCGAGUUAAUGAUUAACAGGGACAAUUGGGGGCAUUAGUAUUCAGACGACAGAGGUGAAAUUCUUGGACCGUCUGAAGACUGACUACUGCGAAAGCAUUUGCCAAGAGUGUUUUCAUUAAUCAAGAACGAAAGUUAGAGGUUCGAAGGCGAUCAGAUACCGCCCUAGUUCUAACCAUAAACGAUGCCAGCUAGCAAUCUGCCGAGUUUUUUUUGUAGGCUCCGCAGGAAGCUUUCGGGAAACCAAAGCUUUUGGGUUCCGGGGGAAGUAUGGUUGCAAAGCUGAAACUUAAAGGAAUUGACGGAAGGGCACCACCAGGAGUGGAGCCUGCGGCUUAAUUUGACUCAGCACGGGAAAUCUCACCAGGCCCGGACACUGGAAGGAUUGACAGAUUGAGAGCUCUU